GGUUUUGGAUGUAUGCUUUAUGUUUACUAGACUUGACCAUGAAAGUCAAAUGUGAGUUACGCUUUAGAUAUGAUCAUUAUAUGUGAAAUCGUGUACACUAACAAGGAUGUGAUUGCGGUAACAUGAAAGCAUUAGGGAUCAUGUGGACGUGGACUCAAGCAUGAAAGACUAACGGGUCAAGAGGGGACAAGGAAGCCAAUGCGAAAAUGGACGCUCAAGGUUGUGCGGGUCACGGAGGAUCAUCCAGGAAUAAAGAUCGAAGACCGAGUCACUUAAGGGAUUGUACGGGGUUGUUUAAGGAUGUAAAUUUGUUGUACAUAAGCUAUGAUUUAUUCUAUAAUUGAGUCAGUUUGUUGUAUUCGAUAUAAAAGAGUUAUUUUAAAAGUGAACUUUCAAGUAAGACGUAAGGUUUAUAAUGAAAGAAAUUUUAUGGCA